rnacentral:misc_RNA from 1 species
CCCAAUAUGGCCGUAAUGUUUUUGUGUUAAGGUUUGUUUUCGUUGAGAAAGAGCGUGAAGAAUAUAUUUUUUUCUCAAUUGAAUAACUCGUUUGGAUUGUCAGUAAAAAUGAGUACGACCAAGCCUAAUAAUAAUGGAAGCGAGCUCAAUAUCAGUGAUGUUCUUGCUGUUAUAGAGGGUGAUCCAGACUAUACUGGCCAAGCUCAACCUAGUAAAGACUCAAAUUCAGUAAAGGGUGUGGACAAGAUUGAACCUAAAGUUGAAGUCCCCAGCUUUACAAUGAAUACAGCAGAUGUUGGUGUAGAUGCAAAACAAAAGGCUCAGGUCAAAAUUCUUGAACAACCAGCUUCUAAGGCCUUAAGGUUUAGGUAUGAAUGUGAAGGGCGAUCAGCUGGCAGUUUACCUGGAGCAAAUAGCACAACAGAAAAUAAAACAUACCCAACCAUUCAAGUGCUUGGUUACAGAGGUAAAGCUGUUGUUGUGGUUUCCUGCGUCACAAAAGAUUUCCCCUAUAAACCACAUCCUCAUAGCUUGGUGGGCAAAGAGGGAUGCAAGAAGGGAGUGUGCACUCUAGAAAUCAACAAUGACAAUAUGAUUUGCACCUUUUCCAAUUUGGGUGUACAGUGUGUAAAGAAAAAAGGAAUCGAGGAAGCAUUGAAAUUGCGUGAAGAGAUCCGUGUUGACCCUUUUCACACUGGAUUUGCACACAAAAAUCAACCCCAGAGCAUUGAUUUAAACGCUGUUCGCCUAUGUUUUCAAGUAUUUUUGGAAGGCCAGAAAGGAAAGUUUUCCCUUGCUCUCAAGCCCGUUGUUUCAGAGGCAAUAUACGACAAAAAGGCCAUGUGCGAACUUACUAUAUGCAAGCUUAGUGACUGUACCAGUCCCGCUAAUGGAGGCAAGGAGAUCAUUCUGUUAUGUGACAAAGUGACUAAGGACGAUAUUCAAGUAGUCUUCUAUCACGAAGAAGAAGGUCACCUCAUAUGGGAAGGCACUGGUGAAUUUUCUGCAUCAGAUGUCCACAAGCAAGUUGCCAUCACUUUUCGAACUCCACGCUACAGAGUCACCGAUGUGGAGGAGCCCAUAAGUGUAUACGUUCAACUACGCAGACCAAGCGACGGAGCGUGCAGUGAAUCGCGACGCUUUGAAUAUUUACCCAUGGACUCAGGUAGCGUUGAUGCCGUUGUACCCCCAUUUGAUAACAGCGCACUCUUUGCAAGCAAGAGGUUCAAGCCUGAUUUUCCAUUGUACACUCAUAUAUUGGCCCUUGACGCUGCGGUUUUGGCCCGUCAAAUGUUUCGCGCUCCGGAAGAGUCCCGCCAGUAUUCCGAUGCUUUUGUUCAGUGCUCUUUACUCCAAGAAGGAGAAACGACAAACGAAGAGAAACAAGUAGAAAUCCAAAGAAAAUGUGAUGUUGAGGCAGUUGUGGAGAAACCCUUAGAAAACUUGGUUGAUUUAGCUGCGGAGAAAUUGCAGGAAAAACAAAUAGAAUCUCGAUUAGGAUUGAACGAUACCCCACCUCCUCUACCUGAAAAAGGUGUCGGGUUCGCUAAGCUGAAAAGCAACUUGAUCAAAUCGGGUGAAAGCCUCGAAUUUUCUAAGCAAAAAUCUCAGAAAAAUCCCGUAAAGACAGUCAACUUUGAUCGUUCGUCGUUAUCCACAAUCGUGUCAGAGUUUGAUUCAGAUGGGCGACUUUCCGUCGCUUCGUCAGAAGAUCUGAAUUCGCGACUUUCAGCUGCCUUCUCGGACUAUUCAGACUUGACGGAUGUCCGUAGCAUUGCAGAGGAAUCAGAAGUGGAUAUUAACGAUUCACUUUCUUUGAUAUCUUCCACUCAUACGUUAAACGAUCGAUUAUCUCAGGUUUCUGAUGCGUCCGACAUUUCAAUCGUUUCCGACCAGACAGUAAUCCACGAUUCAAAAUCCGACACGGGUAGUAUAGACACGAUUGAACAGCAAUUGGAAAUGCUCGAGUCGAUGAGCGUUGAUCCCGAUUGUCAAACAUACUCUAGUUUUCAAAUGGCGAUGAAACACCCUAUCUUUGGUUGGCCAAGUCGUACUCAACCAACUGAUACUCCAGUGGAAGCGAUCUUUAAUGAUUUAGUUUAUGAUGAUCCCACAGAUGAUCCAAUUUUAAAACUUGAAGUUCCCUUACCGGCAGUACCUCCGCGUGUUGAAUCCAAGACUGUAUCAACACCUCCGUUGCCGCCACGUCGUUUUAAAAAACUUAAUCAGCCGUUACCCGACCCUCCUACUAGAGACUUAGGUCUUAAGAGCGCGUUGCAAGCCCUGAAACAAACUUUUAAAAAAGCGAAACCCAUGUCUAAAAGUGAAGCGUCUCUAAACAGCUCUGUUUCAAUUCAUUCUAGUCAACGAUCUAUUUAUAACAGCCAAGAAAGCGUCAGAGAUGCUCAUCAGAAUGCUUCAGCCAUGGAUGAACAAACUUCUCAGUCUGAACCUGACACCGUUAAAAGCGAUAAUGAAGCUCCUUCUGAACAGAAGUUGAAUGAGUCACCGGUGAUUCAAACAGCGCUUCCCACAGUAGUCGUUGAUCAGGUUGAUCCUGAUAAUUUGACAGAAGCUGAGAACUAUGCUUUGUACAUGAGAUUGGCACCUCUGGCCACGGCUUCUGAAUUCGAUGAAAAUGAAACUUUAUCUAUGUUGUAUGGAGAGUUGACACCUAAUCGAGAUGUUGUGUCCAUGCAAGAUGGAAAGUAGAUUACUUUUUGCCGUUUUACUUUCGAGUAAUUUUUUUGCAAUUGAAUAGGCAUUUUGAAAGCUAUCUUAGUCGUGCCUUAAUUUGCCUUUUGAACGUAAUGGUAGACAAAGCUUAGGAGUAGUUAAUUGCGAUUUGAUUAGCUGACAGCUUCGUUGUGGUUACCCGUUUUCGUAUAAUUUUAAAACUUUUGUUUAAUACUCUUUGUUAAUUUGAUCUAGUCAUUGCCAACUGUAUUAGAAUCCCCUGGUGCAAUGUUUAACUCAUGAUAUCUCACAAAUAUUCUUGUUGGCCUCGCAUCAGAUGCCGAAAUGCUUAAGCGGAAGCGACAGCGCUUGUUCGAAUCGAACGCCAGUCGUUUGAAGGACUUCAUCCUCGACAAUGUUUUAGAAACCCCUGAAGCGGGCAAUCUUCGAGGCUACAGCCCCAAUAUUGCAGUGGAAUCAAUAAGAAAAGAGACGGGAGGUGCUAUCCCACGACCCAUGAAACAAGUUACGCGGACAACUG